GACGAACGCUGGCGGCGUGCUUAACACAUGCAAGUCGAACGGUGAAGCGCCUUCCUUUUUGGUGGGUGUGGAUGAGUGGCGAACGGGUGAGUAGCACGUGAGUAACCUGCCCCCUUCUUCUGGAUAACCGCAUGAAAGUGUGGCUAAUACGGGAUAUUCUGGGUCUGUCGCAUGAUGGGUCUGGGAAAGAUAUUGUUUCGGUGGGGGAUGGGCUCGCGGCCUAUCAGCUUGUUGGUGGGGUGAUGGCCUACCAAGGCGGUGACGGGUAGCCGGCCUGGGAGGGUGGACGGUCACACUGGGACUGAGACACGGCCCAGACUCCUACGGGAGGCAGCAGUGGGGAAUAUUGCACAAUGGGCGCAAGCCUGAUGCAGCGACGCCGCGUGAGGGAUGGAGGCCUGCGGGUUGUGAACCUCUUUCGCCAGUGAAGCAGGCCUGCCUCGUUUGUGGGUGGGUUGACGGUAGCUGGAUAAGAAGCGCCGGCUAACUACGUG
rnacentral:rRNA from 1 species